ensembl:lncRNA
CGUACUGACGGAGAGGGGGUUUAUUGCUCAUUCUUGCUUUCCGUUUUCUGUAGAUUUGGGGUUUUUUCACGUGACAGUGCCCCCUAGUGAACACGCUCAUGUCACGUGAAUCAGGUCCUGACCUGCUCGCAGAUGCACCCUUUCAGAAGCCUAAAUCUGACCCUGACCUCCAUACAGACACACUGACCCAGGCAGCUGGAUUACAAUGAGCUCCACCAGGCCUGGAGCAGGUAGAACAUUCCAGUGACGGAGAUCACCUUGAGGCAAAUACCCCGAUUACACAGCAACGUAAAUAGUUUGCCGAGUAAAAGGAAAAAACCGUACUGGAAGCAGAGAGGAGAGCUAAGCUAUGUACGGGAUAAAUAAAAUGAGAGAAACGUUGGUGCAGUAAUACCCUGGUCUAAUCCAGGUCACCACACUGCUCUCGUUCCUCGGAGAUGAAAAGUGAGGAGCUUAUUAAAUCCGAAGCUCCAUGGUACAGUAGAACAAUGACACUCGCGGCCAAAACGAGGACAGCGAGGAAACGAGCCAGAGACGGAGAGAAUGCCAACAAAGAGCCAUCACCAGCGAGCAGCCAAAACAUGACAGGAGGAGCGCAUCAGGAGCUCAAGAGGAGAAAAAAAAAAAAACACAUACUUGUUUGGCCUUGGCCUCACAACACAAUCGAAGAGUUUUUGUUAUGGCUCCUUUACUGAAAUCUAAAGCACAUCGAGGACAUCAACAAUCAAGAGUUCAAGGAAAAGAAUCGGAGGAAGAAAAACCUGUAAUAACGGAGCAAAAACCGCGGACAAGAAAGCAAAGAUCUGCUCAAUAAAUCGGCUCACGGAGUGCAAGCGACACACGAUCAUCAAACAGCACCAGUCACACGGCUCGGCUGACAACGUUAGCUUCCUAAACACAGCGCUGCGCUAACUCUGGUGAUGCAACAGAUACUUCAGCUAACGUUAUCCCUUCAAGCAGCAGCGCUCUAAUCUCACGAACAAGCUAGCUAACGUCAGGCCUACCAUUAGAUCAACCCCAAAUAAACCCGCAGACAGUUACACUAGCAGGGUAGCUAACGUUAGGCCAUCAGGCGAACAAUAAUGUAAUCAAAUGUUUAAGAAUGCUAAUUUAUAAAGUAACAAACCUGGUGGGGGUGGGGUGGGGGAGGCUAAUGCACUCACAUUAUUUAUCUCUAAUAAAAAUAUUUAGUCCGAGACAAAAACUCAAACUGAUCUUAAAACUGAGAGCGUGUGAAAUAAAUUUUUAAUCACAGGAGCUGAAGUGUGUGUUCAAGGCUGGGUGUAAGGGGAGAACCCAAUCAGACGAGCGCUAACGUUUCACUCGCCAACAAAGUGCCAUGUGUUUGGGCCGUGCCAGGAGCAGUGUGUGUGUGUGUGUGUGUGUGUGUGAGAGAGAGAGAGAGAGAGAAAGAGAGAGUGUGUAAAAUGGAGGGUGUGUGAGUGUUUGGUGGGGUCUCAAAAUCCAGCCUCUGUAAUUUCCAGCAAAGCAACACUGACACCACACACACACACACACACACACACACACACACACACACACACACACACACACGCCUCUCUUCAGGAUCAGACUGAAACUCUGAGGAUGGAGUUUUUCCUUCAGGAUGAAUGCUGUUCAGCGUGAGGAGGAAACACAGGGAGAGUCGUCGCAUAAACUGAAACAGAUGGAGCUCGAGCGGCUGCUUGUUCACAAGCAAACUCACAGAAUCCUGACCGAGUCAGCUUCACGCCGAGUCCGCUUCACGAGUCUACAUCACAGCGAGUCAGCUUCACGAGUCUCAUCACAGCGAGUCAGCAUCACGAGUCUCAUCACAGCGAGUCAGCUUCACGAGUCUCAUCACAGCGAGUCAGCUUCACGACGAGCCCGCUUCACGCCGAGCCCGCUUCACGCCGAGCCCGCUUCACGCCGAGCCCGCUUCACGCGACACCACUGCUGUGUUUCGGGUUUUUAAAGCCGAUGAGGAAAUGACUGAAGUGGCAGCUUCAUUGUUGGGGUUUGUGAAGAGGUUACAGAGCGUUGUGCUCCUUCCUCCUCCAUCAUGCCUUCUCAAAUCCACCUUCUCCACCGAACUCGUACGUGAUCACAGUGGAGAAGGAGGGAGUGUCUUUCAGGACAGUCGCGAUGCUCAAAAAGACAAACAGAAAUUCAUUAUUUUAUAAAAAUGAGCCACACGUUUCACUCCACAUGAAUAUUUAUGAGCGAAUAAUUAUUUCAUCACCACACAGAGUCCACAAACGUCGUCAGAGAAACCGCUCGGAUAUUUAUCCAAAUAAACAAAAACACUGUUUAAUAAAAUGUCUCACUAUCGCAAUAUAAACAUAAAUAAACAAAAACAAAUGAAAACACACGCACAUUCGAUUUUACACACCAGUCGCUGAUGGGAAAACUGCUUCUUUCGCAAAUUUUCAGAAACGUAUUUAAUAAUUAAACUGAAAUCCAGACGUCUCGCAAAAACACUGGCCCUGCGCUUCAUUCGGAAACGACUAGAGCCGAGGUUUUAUUAUUUUAUUAUGUUUAAUUUUAACGGUCUUCAAUAGAAAUGAUUAUUGUUAUAUACUCCAUUAAGAAAGAACAAAGAUGAAAUGAUGCUAAAAUCAAGCCACAGAUUAAAAGAGAAGUUGAGCAUUUUGGGAACUGAUGUUUCCUUCCCGUAGAUUUAAGUGAGCAGUGCAACAAACACCACACACACACACACACACACACACGAUUAAUGACAGGAAGUGGAACACCAGCAGAGCUCAGACCCGCCCCUCAGGCUACAGAGCCGAUUCCUCUGCAGAUUUCCGUGUAAACGAGGUUCGGGAGCCUCGGCUCCUCACCUGAACCUCUGCAGAACUUCGGUUACGUUUCAGUCUGAACCUCAACUACAUCACCGAGAAGAAAAAGCCUUCCCUGAAGAGCCAGGAAGCAGGACACAGAGGGAGAAAAUCCUCACGAAGAAAAACAAACUAAACAAAAAGGCAGACAGAAAACUUCAACUCCCUCUGUUCCUGAAUUCUACUUCCUGUCAGCGAAAAAACCCUCAAAACAUCACGGGGGGGGCAGAGAGAGAGAGAGAGAGAGAGAGAGAGAGAGAGAGAGAGAGAGAGGGAGACAGAGAGAGAGAGAGAGAGAGAGAGAGAGAGAGAGAGAGAGAGAGAAACGAGUGAAGCUCCAGUCUCACCUCGCUCUUCCCUCUCUAUUGAUUUUUGCUUGCACCAUUUUCUCUCUCUUUUUAUUCAUAUCGUCCUUCCUUUCAUCGUUAUUUUACCGUCCUUUCUGUUCUCUUCCUUCUGUUCUUUUAUAUCACUUCCUUUUCCCAUCAUUCUUUUCCUUCAUUUUUACCCUUUCCCUUCAUUUUCUCCGUUUGUUCUUGCUCUUUCCCGCGUCUCCUCAGGAACAGUGAGACGAGCGGAGGUAUCUCUGUAACUGACGACACGGCUGAUAUUUUGAUCUGAAACUUACAGGGUUUUAAAAUGAAACACCUUUUUUUUUCCCUGCAAAACCUUGCUUUCAGAAUUAUUGGCACCCCCAGAGUUGUUAAUAGGUGGAACCCCGUGUCCUCUGGGCAGAAGAACAGCACCGAGUCACUUCCUGUGAGUUCUAACGAGCCUGUAGAAGCUUUUGGAAAAUGUCUGACUGUGUUUACCGCAGCAGUAAUCCUGCUUCAUCUCUCACAGCCUUUUAUUUCCCCGUCACUCCACUUCCACGGUCUCUGUUUUAUCUUCACCCCAUGUUUUAUAGUGUUUUUAAUCAGACACAAAC